GACAGAGGGUGCAAACGUUGCUCGGAAUUACUGGGCGUAAAGGGCGCGUAGGCGGCCCGCUAAGUCGAACGUGAAAUCCCCGAGCUCAACUCGGGAACUGCGUCCGAUACUGGCGGGCUUGAAUCCGGGAGAGGGAUGCGGAAUUCCAGGUGUAGUGGUGAAAUGCGUAGAGAUCGGCAGGAACACCCAGGGGAACCAGUCGACUGGCAUCGUACUGACGCUGAGGUGCGAGAGCGUGGGAGCGAACCGG
rnacentral:rRNA from 1 species